UAACCAAAAAAAAAAGAGAAAGGUAAAAUGAGAAAAAAAUUAAAUUGACAUUUUCCAAACUUUUCAGAUAUUUGACGUGUCUUAAAUCGUCGUCAUGUUAUAGUGUCUGAGUAGGAUAUAUUCACGGCACUGUCAUCAUUAAUACGUCUUUUUUAAAAAUAAAUUUAAGUACAAGGAGGAGGUAUCUAAUGUACGCAAUAACUUGCUACGUUUGGAUUUCAAAAAUUAUGAAGGGUCCAUAAAACAAUUCGAAAAUCAAUACUUUCGGAAUUGAAAGGGGAUGUUCAACGUAUACCACGGCUAAAGCCUUUGUAUCCAGAUAUAGAUGAUAGUGCUUCCAUUGGAGAUGCGAAUAAAAAGAAGCCAACAUGGAAAAUUAGUUUCCAACGAAGAAGAUACCGAAACGGAUGAAUAUCCAAAGAAAUUGCCAGUAGUGGAAAAUGAAGAAGAUAUUAACGAUGAAUUCCAUGAAUUAAUUUCGAAAAAGUCCUCGUAAACCAAGCGGAACAGAGCUUCUCAUAGGUAUCAUCCUGUUACAUCAGUCUCUACCUAAGCUUAAAGUUAUCAUCAAUGGCUCUAAUAAGGAUUAUGGAUCUAAUUUUAAUGUCAUAAGGAAGCACAAAGGUAAAUAAUACAUUUUUUUCAUCGUCGAAGGAUUGCCAUUACUAUCUUGUACAUGUUUGAGGUAUAAAAUGCAUUGCUGUAAGCUUAAAGUACAUAGAUCGCUUUUUUGCAUAACUUUCCGCACACAUAAAUAUUUUUGUGAAUAGUAAGCCUUCACCUAGAAACAAUAUUUGUGCGAGCGUUAUGUCUUUUUGACACACCAGCUACCCCCAAAAAUUAUUUGGAAAAUCGUCAGUAAAUCAUUUAUCUGCGGUUGCGGCGGCCGAAUCUACGAAAAAGCAAGAAAUGCUUUUGUUGAAAACCUCGGAGAGGCCACGCCCGUUACCAUUGGAACGACAGAGCUCUAAACAACGUCGUGCAACCGCAGACAGCUAACGUAAAUCCACUUACACCAGAUAGUUUGAUGGCUCACUAAGUUCGUUACUAUCGUUUGAUGAAUCGUGUUCAGUAGCCAACUCUACAUCAUAUUGAAAACCUGUUUUCGUUGCAUCGAUUAACUUAUUUGAUUCAAAGCAUCUCAACCAAAUUCACAAGGUAUACUUUACCGCACCGGACACAUUCAUCCUGCUGCUCUCCUAAAAUUUUGAGAAAUACAAAAUUAAAUACAUUACACUGAAAGACCGAAUACUGCAUAUCAAUUUACCUUCGUGUGUUCUCAGUGUGCUCGUAAAUUGCAGGCUAAAGCAAAUUACUUCUUGCACAACUCACAAAUAUAUGGCUUUUCACUUGCCGGGGUAAAUACGUAUACGAUACAUUUGUCAUUAGUUAUGUUUAUCUACAUACAUAUAUAUGUCAAUGUAUAGUGAUACUUGUGUGAACAUCUAUUAGACUGGUUUUGUAUUUUAUGAUUUCUUUUAUCAAAAGAAAAGUUUGAAAACAAUUCGGCAUCCACGAGUUGAGAUUAAUUGAUUGUAUUUUACGCAAUAGUUUGAAUUGAUCUUCUAAUAUAUCGUCUAUUUGCCUUUCUAGUGAGUAAAAGUGGCUCGUUAUCUCUUGCAAGAAUUUUCUAGUACUUAUUAAUUUCCGAGAAAAUCUUUUUUUUAUACAUAGAGUGGAACAUGUAAGCACAAAAUAUUUUCCGUUCCUUUACUUGCUACCGAACGCCAGGUAUUGAGAAUCUCAAUAACCGAUUUUUGCAAUUAUUUCUCACUACUAACGACGAUGUGUUGUGUAGUGACACCACUCAAAAAUUAAGGUUCUUUUAUUUGGUUGAUUAUUUUAAAGUCUUUUAUGUUACUUUUCUUUUAGAUUCUUGCUUAUAUUCUGACCUGAGUGAGGUAUGGUCAGGUGUCUUAUAUAACUAAUAAUUUAAUGCUAACUCAAGCGAAUAAUAUAAUUGAAGUAGGUUAUUACUAGAAUUACGAGUAAUGUGGGCUACAACUAAAUUGGGCUAUCUUAACUAGGUUAGGUGUCACAUUAUACUAAAAUGUAAACGUAGCGUAAAUUGUAAAUCACGGUAGAGUGCGACAGAUCGAUAAUGCUACAGUUGAAUGAAGCAGAAGGUGAAAAUACCCCUGAAAUAAAUCAGGCUCCUAAAAUAUUGACUCUACAGGACACCAAUAUAAGUCGUUAUAAAGAGGAAUUUCUAGAAUUAGCUCUUAUAGGCGUUGGGCAGUUCGGGAAAGUCUAUCUCUAAGUAUAAAAUCGUUUAGAUGGUUGCAUUUACGCAAUUGAAAUGAGUAUUAAAACGGUAGCGGGC